GACAAAGUAAUUGUGGGUGGUGACAUGAGAGCAGACUCACCAGGCCAUUCAGCAAAGUACGGCAGCUACACUGUUAUGGACCUAAAGAACAAUAUCAUAUUGGACAUGCAGCUGGUCCAAAGCAAUGAGGUUGGUGGUAGCUACCACAUGGAAAAGGAGAGACUGAAAAGAAGUCUGG